AAAGAUAGUGGCGGACGGGUGCGUAACACGUGGGAAUAUACCUUUUGGUUCGGAACAACGCAGGGAAACUUGCGCUAAUACCGAAUGUGCCCUUACGGGGAAAGAUUUAUCGCCAAAGGAUUAGCCCGCGUAGGAUUAGCUAGUUGGUGAGAUAAUGGCUCACCAAGGCUUCGAUCGGUAGCUGGUCUGAGAGGAUGAUCAGCCACAUUGGGACUGAGACACGGCCCAA
rnacentral:rRNA from 1 species